rnacentral:rRNA from 1 species
GACGAACGCUGGCGGCGUGCUUAACACAUGCAAGUCGAACGGAAAGGCCCUGCUUUUGUGGGGUGCUCGAGUGGCGAACGGGUGAGUAACACGUGAGUAACCUGCCCUUGACUUUGGGAUAACUUCAGGAAACUGGGGCUAAUACCGGAUAGGAGCUCCUGCUGCAUGGUGGGGGUUGGAAAGUUUCGGCGGUUGGGGAUGGACUCGCGGCUUAUCAGCUUGUUGGUGGGGUAGUGGCUUACCAAGGCUUUGACGGGUAGCCGGCCUGAGAGGGUGACCGGACACAUUGGGACUGAGAUACGGCCCAGACUCCUACGGGAGGCAGCAGUGGGGAAUAUUGCACAAUGGGAGGAAGCCUGAUGCAGCAACGCCGCGUGCGGGAUGACGGCCUUCGGGUUGUAAACCGCUUUCGCCUGUGACGAAGCGUGAGUGACGGUAAUGGGUAAAGAAGCACCGGCUAACUCCGUG